GACGAACCACACAAACGUUAUUCGGAAUUACUGGGCUUAAAGGGUGCGUAGGCGGCGCAGAAAGUUGGGUGUGAAAUACCUCGGCUCAACCGAGGAACUGCGCCCAAAACUGCUGUGCUCGAGGAAGAUAGAGGUGAGCGGAACUUACGGUGGAGCGGUGAAAUGCGUUGAUAUCGUAAGGAACACCUGUGGCGAAAGCGGCUCACUGGGUCUUUUCUGACGCUGAUGCACGAAAGCUAGGGGAGCAAACGGG
rnacentral:rRNA from 1 species